CCCUUAGAUGUCCGGGGCCGCACGCGCGCUACACUGAAGGAAUCAGCGUGGAUGCCUCCCUGGUCCGAAAGGGUUGGGAAACCCGUUGAAUCUCCUUCGUGAUAGGGAUUGGGGCUUGAAAUUGUUCCCCAUGAACGAGGAAUUCCCAGUAAGCGCGAGUCAUAAGCUCGCGUUGAUUACGUCCCUGCCCUUUGUACACACCGCCCGUCGCUACUACCGAUUGAACGGUUUAGUGAGGGCCUCGGAUUGGUCUCGGCCCGCUCUUUACCGGGCGGCGCCGUUGGUCGAGAAGACGCUCGAACUUGAUCGUUUAGAGGAAGUAAAAGUCGUAACA
rnacentral:rRNA from 1 species